rnacentral:rRNA from 1 species
AGUGAACGCUGGCGGUAGGCCUAACACAUGCAAGUCGAACGGCAGCACAGUAAGAGCUUGCUCUUACGGGUGGCGAGUGGCGGACGGGUGAGGAAUACAUCGGAAUCUACUUUUUCGUGGGGGAUAACGUAGGGAAACUUACGCUAAUACCGCAUACGACCUACGGGUGAAAGCAGGGGAUCUUCGGACCUUGCGCGAUUGAAUGAGCCGAUGUCGGAUUAGCUAGUUGGCGGGGUAAAGGCCCACCAAGGCGACGAUCCGUAGCUGGUCUGAGAGGAUGAUCAGCCACACUGGAACUGAGACACGGUCCAGACUCCUACGGGAGGCAGCAGUGGGGAAUAUUGGACAAUGGGCGUAAGCAUGAUCCAGCCAUACCGCGUGGGUGACGAAGGCCUUCGGGUUGUAAAGCCCUUUUGUUGGGAAAGAAAAGCAGCAGGUUAAUACCCCGCUGUUCUGACGGUACCCAAAGAAUAAGCACCGGCUAACUUCGUG